AUCUUCUCAGACCUCCCCCAGGCUUCCCCAAUCCGUCUAUGAAUAUCAGAAGGGGCUGAGGCAGGGUUUGGCUGUCUCAUGAGCUGCCACCUGCCCCAUAGGAAGCAUAGGUGUUUGAGAAGGCUCAGAAAUUAUUUCCUAGGCACCCGAGAGCCACACUUAAGAAUUACUAUGGUCCAGACCCACAGCAUGUAACUCAAGCCUCCAUCUUCCUGAAGUCAGGCACCUCAGAGAGAACACAGGAAGUCUGGCCACAGGACAAAUUCAAGAAGGAACCAAUCAAAACAGCCCGGGUACAGUGAACUGACGUUUGGAGUUCCUCAGGACUCUUUCUCUUGCUGGGGAGAAACUGAGGCUCUGCCAAGCAUGUUCUGGGAGAGUUUGUUUGAAGGAGGAGCCAACAGGAUGGGAAGCAAUCCAGAGCCACCAAGGCAGCCGAUGGUACAGUUGGAGCCCUUGAAGGAACCAGGGCUGAAAUCCCACCCCCAUCCAUGAGAGGUGUCAACCCCUCUGACAGGUAGAAGGAGACAAUAGGCAUGGUGGAAUCCAGAGCAGGUACCGCUUGCCACAAGCUGUCAGGUGUCUCCUAGGCUGCAUGCUGAGGCUGUGCACUGGCCCCACUGGGCAUGCCCAGAAUCUCUACCAGCACACCAACCCCCAACAGUGGGAUGCACACAGAGGUCAUAGAUACAGGUUGCCGUGUGGACCGAUGUACCAGCCAGCUCAAUGGCAAGCCUGGGUAGGGAGGCAGUGAUACACAUCCUCCCCAUUGUGGAGCUCAGAGGAUUAGGCUGUGCAAGCAACUGGCUUGUGAAGCUGGGGGUAUUGGAGAUGUACAUGAUAGAGAUAGCCCGUAUGGGAGCAGAGGGCAUCUCCCAUGUCCCUACCCAGGCAAAACUGGGCAUGAACAUAGGUAUCAUAUUUCAUGGCAGAUAUGGCAUGACAAUAGUCACAGAGGACUAAAAAGCCAGUGUCAGUCUGCAACACUCUCCUCAAGGCACCGAGGUGAACAUAUCAAGGCCACUCUCUUAGUUAGGGUUUUAUUGCUGGGAAGAGACACCAGGACCAAGACAAAUCUUAUCAAGGAAAACAUUUAAUUGGGGCUGGUUUAUGAUGGAAAUGGAGGUUUAUUCUCUUAUCAUCAUGACGGGAAGCAUGGCAGCACACAGGCAGACGAGGUGCUGGAGGGGUAGCUGAGCAUUCUACCCCAUGAUCUGCAGGCAGCAGAGGGAGACUGUGUCCCACACUGGGAUUAGCUUGAGCAUAGGAGACUUCUAAACCCACCCCCCACAGUGACACACUUCCUACGACAGGUCACACCUCCUCCAACAAGGCCACUCCCUAUGGCCAAGCAUUCAAAUAUAUAAAUUUAUAGGGACCAAACCUAUUCGUCCCUCCACAGCCACCAAUAGAAUGUAGAGGAUAGGGCUGUGCCCUUAUCAGACUCCUGGGACAGGCCCGACACUCCCUGCCUUAGUUACCUUUCUAAGCUGUGAUAAAACACCAUGACCAAGGCAAUUUGUAGAAGACAGGGUUAAUUUGGGCCUCUGGGUUCUAAAGGGUUAGGGCCCUUAAUGUUGCAGACAGAGUGACAACAGGGAUCAGAAUAGCAGCCACUGAGAUUUCACUGCUCACACUGAAAACAGGAAACAGGUCACAUACAGGAAACAGGGCAAGGUUUUUGAAACCUCAAAGCCUGCCCUACAGUGACAUACUUCCUCCAGCAAGGUCACCUCUCCUAAAUCUACCCAAACUGUCAACUGGGGACCAAGCAUUCCGAUGCCCAAGAAUUAGGGACUUUUCGUUCAAACCACCACACUCCCCUAGAGCCUUUGGGCUGUGACCCUGCCUUCUUUAGACUGGCUUUGCUUAUGUGUGUUAGGAAGGAAACAGAAAUCUUGUCAAGAAAGCUUUUGGUUGGGAGCGUAGUUCCGUGGUAAAGCUCUUGCUGGCCUAGUUGCCCACAAGGUCUCAGAUCUCAUCCCUAGUAUCUUGCCACCCCCCCCCCAAUUGUGAUGGCGCAUGCUUAUGCCAUGCAGUGAGACUCAAAGGAAAGGAAGGGGCUGGAAAGAUAACUCCGCAGUUAAGAGCAUGCAUUGCUUUUUGCAAAGAACCAGAAUUUGUUCCCAACACCCAAGUUGGGCGGUGAAUGACUGCCUGCAACUUUAACUCCAAUGGAUCCAAUGCCCUCUUUUGACCAUUUUAGGCACUGCACUCAUAUGCACAC